UACAGGGGGUGCAAACGUUGCUCGGAAUCAUUGGGCGUAAAGCGCACGUAGGCGGUUCGUUAUGUCGGAUGUGAAAGCCCUUGGCUUAACCGAGGAAGUGCAUCCGAAACUGGCAGGCUAGAGUACUAAAGAGGAUCGCGGAAUUCCCGGUGUAGAGGUGAAAUGCGUAGAUAUCAGGAGGAACACCUGUGGUGUAGACGGCUUUCUGGACCAUAGCUGACGCUGAGACACGAAAGCGUGGGUAGCAAACAGG
rnacentral:rRNA from 1 species